rnacentral:misc_RNA from 1 species
UCUUUUCUACAGUCACUUUGACUAGGAGGUGGAGACGAACAGAAUCAUUAUGGUGCCUUCAUGUUACUUUUAUUUUAUGACGUUUUUGGUAUUUUCUUUGGAUUUAAUUACAUCUUCCGGAGCAGUCAUACUUCCGCCAUGGGAAGUUCCAGGAUGCAGAGAUGACAUUUGACAUUCAUCAGUCGUGGACUGAUCCAAGAUUUAAAAACACAUCAAGGAACCCAAACGACUAUAAUGUAUACAGAGCGGAGGAAUUUGAGAAUAUAUGGCGACCCGACACCUACAUUGCUAACGAAAUGCCAAACGGCGUGUUUGAGACCACGCCCACUGACAAUAUCUACGCCUAUUUCAAUGGAAGCCUGUUCUUGACAACUCGCCACUCGAUAAUUUUCCAUUGUGACGUGAAGUUGUUUGCAUUACCAAUUAAAGACGAGACGUGUUCCUUGUAUUUCAAAAGCGCAUCAUAUGUGUCCAAGAAUUUGAAACUUACCUGGGAACAAGUAAACCCAGUUUUAUAUUCCCAAAACAUGGAAACGUAUGCUGUCAAAAUUCACAAGACGGAACCCAAGCGUUGUCCUUUAGAAAAAGAUGGACCAUGUGUCCACCUUCUGUUGCACGUCCAGAGGACCUAUCAAGUGAUGAUCGUACAGGUAUAUCUACCAAGCACCUGUAUUGUUGUGAUCACGUGGUUGGGGUUUUGGAUUCACCACACAGAAGUAUCGAGUCGAACUCGUAUUUCGACCAUUUCAUUGACUGCAAUAGUCACAGAGAGCGUCGCUGUUCUCAUUAUUAACCCGGACCAAGUUCACAUGGCCGCCAUUGAAGCAUGGAAUUCUGGGUGUAUGGUUCUCAUUACUCUGGCAUUUUUGGAGUUUGUCAUUGUUCACAACUAUCACAGAAGAGAGAUUAGGACUAAUUCUGUUCCUAAAUCUAUACAAACAAAAAAGGGUACUUCAUCUCGGCCAAUUAACAUCUCUGCCAACUUUAAAGCCAACAACAAGAAAAAUAGAACCAAACCUAACUUAUCCAAAGAACGGAUUUAUAUCGUUGAGAUGGAAGCUGGUGCAAACAAAACUCGUGAGAAUCGAAAAACCCGUCGUAUAACUCCAGAAACUAUCGACAAAAUAUCAUCUGUGAUAUACAUUUUAUUAUUUGUGUUAUUCAAUGUUUAUUACUGGUCAUUUUUCUUAACUGAAGCGGACAAGCAAUAAUUUUAGAUCAUAUAGGAUUUUACUUUGUUAUACACAGUAUUUUUAUACAAAGAUGAAUAGAAAGUAAACAAUUAUACACUUUU